GAGAGGAGGUAGGGGAGAAAGCACAUUCCAGGAAAGAGAUUUUAGAUGGACAAAUUACAUUUAGAAGCUUUUAACAGAGUACCUGGCUUGUGAUAAGUGCUCAAUAAAAGCUAAUGCUAUGAAGAUAGACCAAGAAGGAUAAGUUGGGUCCACAGCGAGGGGCUGUCAGAAGAUUGGUCCGACAACGGAGGUGUGGCAGAGGGUGGAGAAGCUGAUGGCAGAAAGACGCUCUGGGACCUUGGUAUUCAGACACAGAAUAAAGGGCUUCAUUCAAUGAUGGAAAAGAAUGACAGGCUUUGAGAAUCUACUCCCAGGGGACGGUAAAUGAAUCAGGUAGCAUCAUACCUUGUACUCAAAGGAUGAAUGAAUGAGUAUGAUACAGUGGAAAGGCCAUGGAACUUGGUGGGGACAGCAUUCAUCCCCUCUGUAGGAUGCUGCCCCAAGGCACCAUCUUGGACACAGAGGAACUGAGCCCUCAUCAGCUGCCCCCUGGAUCUUUGAAUUCCUAGCCUCAAGAACUCUAAGAAAUAAAUUCCAAUUUUUUAUAAGUUACCCAGUCUGUGGUAUUUUGUCUUAACAGCUCAAAUGGAUUAAAAGAGCUGGUGAUCAUGGAACUCUUGAA